GAUGAACGCUGGCGGCGUGCCUAAUACAUGCAAGUCGAGCGAACAGAUAAGGAGCUUGCUCCUUUGACGUUAGCGGCGGACGGGUGAGUAACACGUGGGUAACCUACCUAUAAGACUGGGAUAACUUCGGGAAACCGGAGCUAAUACCGGAUAACAUUUGGAACCGCAUGGUUCUAAAGUGAAAGAUGGUUUUGCUAUCACUUAUAGAUGGACCCGCGCCGUAUUAGCUAGUUGGUAAGGUAACGGCUUACCAAGGCAACGAUACGUAGCCGACCUGAGAGGGUGAUCGGCCACACUGGAACGGAGACACGGUCCAGACUCCUACGGGAGGCAGCAGUAGGGAAUCUUCCGCAAUGGGCGAAAGCCUGACGGAGCAACGCCGCGUGAGUGAUGAAGGGUUUCGGCUCGUAAAACUCUGUUAUUAGGGAAGAACAAAUGUGUAAGUAACUGUGCACGUCUUGACGGUACCUAAUCAGAAAGCCACGGCUAACUACGUG
rnacentral:rRNA from 1 species